GCCAAUCAGCAAGGUCAGCCCUCCCUGAGCCACAUGGACUGGGGAAGGACUGGUCUCCCAGCUUAAACAAACAGAUUUUAAAAGGGAGCUCGUGCCAACCCCUGGAUGCUCAAGCCAGCAUUGCCGGCUGAUCCCCUGCAAGAGUAAGGCUUCACCCAGCUUGCCAAACCUGAGGCCUCUGUGCGGGCACAAAGGCCCGGAAGGGGGCCCCGGGCAGCUGUCAGCGGGCCAAAGGUCUCCUCCACGCCCGGACACCUGAGGAGCAGCAGUGCUAAGGCAGGCACCCUGCUAUUUGUUAGCAGUGGGCCAUCGGGGAGUUUCCACGCUUGGCUUUGAUGAAACUGAAAAGGUUGAAUCAUUAAAUGCUUGGAGAAUGUGAAGCUGGCACCCGGC
ensembl:lncRNA